rnacentral:rRNA from 1 species
AUUAGACUACCCCGUAGUCCCAGCCGUAAACUAUGCGCGUUAGGUGUAUCGGUGACCACGAGUUACCGAGGUGCCGAAGGGAAACCGUGAAACGUGCCGCCUGGGAAGUACGGUCGCAAGGCUAGAAACUUAAAGGAAUUGGCGGGGAGCACCACAACGGGUGGAGCCUGCGGUUUAAUUGGACUCAACGCCGGGAAGCUCACCGGAUAAGACAGCGGAAUGAUUGCCGGGCUGAAGACUCUGCAUGACUAGCUG